rnacentral:lncRNA from 1 species
AAUACUCCAGAGGCAUUGGCCCUUUCGAUGGGGUUCAGUCGGAAGAUGAGGAUGGCAGUGAUAAUUGCGGGAGUUACUUCUCCGAUGUGUUCGCAACCACAGAGCAGGAGGCAUUAGGAUUGUGGGCCUGGUCUUAACCUAAAGGAUCCUGCAACAAUAUAUUUCUCUAGUGUUUCAUGCUAUGGUGUCAUGCGUUGAAUUAAGACAACAGUUGAAAAUAACCAAAAAUACAGGUGAUGUCAGAAACCCGGUACAUAGGGUAAAGUAUAUGGAUGAAAUAUAGUCUAAAGUCAAUGGAAUAAUAAUAAUAUGUUUAAGUUUUACAUCACCUCCUUCCUCUCUUGUUUUCAGCUUAUUUAUAUUACUUUGGUUUAAAGCUAACAUAAACACAACCAAUCAAACAAAUAUGAAGAUUAUGUGCGAGUAACUCUUCAUGAACUCAAGGGGUAACCAUAGUGAUUCUCCAAUAUUCAAUUUUAUCAUUUGGAAAGCUAAUAAUUAAACAAUCUUCAAUCUUUCUAUAUAUAAAAUCAAAUCAGUCGUCUUUUCUCAAAUGAAAACAAGCAGGGCCUCACUUCAAUGUAAUGAGGACAAGAAAUCAACUCAUGACCAGGAUACGAAAUCAGUAACUUGGUGUAAAAUUGCAUUUGAUUUGUAGUAAUUAAUGCAUGACCACAUGUAUCUAUAUCGGUUACCCUGACUCAAAACAAGGGUCGGAAAUAAAUGUCCAAUCCUAGAUCAGGUAAUAAAUAAAUUCAUAUUUUAAACUUGUUCUUAUUUGUGUAUUAAAUUUCUUUUUACUAAAGGAUAAUAACAAUCAUAAAAUAUGUAGAUUAGCGCUUCAUUCUUCAAAAUCAGAUGGAAGUGAUCAAAAAUUCAUUCAAAAUACAACUUGUUUAUUAGCGAGAUUAACAAUGAAGAGAAGCAAGUUGAUCUAAUGGUGGUUCACCCUUAGCUAGGGUAAAGAGCCAUUGGAUAGCAAGUCUGGUAAGAUUUUUUUCUUAAAAUAGGAGAAUAAAGAAUAAGAAAAGAGGGAUGUUGUGUCUUGGACUUCUCUCGUGUUAUGAUGGGUUUAUAUAUAGGGGACCAAAACAUCUACGUGUCUAAAGUGUACUGACGAUAUCCCAUUUUGUUUCCCUGCAGUGAUGGUGAUGUGACGUUAUAGGAUAUGACUCUUUAUGAUAGUCGAGUAAUCAAUAAAUUUGAGCAUUCCAUGUAUAUCUAGCGAAGGUUAUCUUAUGUAAAGUCCGUCAUUCUAUCAUAAUUUGAGGUUCGCAAGACUUACACUGUUGAAGAUUUGCUUGUUGUGAAAUGUUACGGACACGUAAAGAGGCACGUGGAGGAGGUAUAACAUAACUAUUUAAGCAUCCCUUAGCUUGAAGCCACUCCAGUAAUCAAAACUGGCCUACAAAACAAGCUAUGGCCACGACAACGAAAGAUGAUGGUACUUAAGCAAGAAGUAGAAAAUUGAGAGUGAGGUACAACAGAAAAAGAGAACAUCAAGACAUGGGAAUUAAAUAAAUACCAACCAAAAUGAGAUUUGAAUUGUUUAGGGUCAAUCUUUUCUCGUAAAGUAGGCUCCAAUCGUACAGUCGGUGGAAGUUCAUGAGAAGAACAACAAAAGCCCACCUCACAAAACCACUUCACCCCCCCCAAAAAAACCCCACUUACAUACUAAAUUAGAAUUUGUUCGAUCCCACUUAAUUCCAACUCUCUUUCCUUCUUGUCCUUUCCAUCUUACAUUCCCACUCCAUAGCAUAUAUGCACUUUGACUAUCUUCACAAUUUUCUAGCUUUAGUGAAGCAGUAUCGUAAAAGGUAGACAUUUGUUUUAAAUUCGACCUUUGGAUGGUUCUUAUCUCCCUUUUUUUAUAAAAUAAAUUAUAGAAUUAUUUCCCUCUUCCUAUUCUUUAUGCUUUCAUUUCUGACCAAAAAAAUUGGGUAUGUAUGGUAUGCUGCUGGGCUUCACUUUGUCAAUUGAAUCAAACUCCAAUGAGGACACAAAAUGUUGUCAAUGAUGAAUAAGGUUAUACUCUCAACAAAUUACUUAUGCAUCAACUACUAUUAGAAAGCCCAAAGGAAUCAAGACCAACCGCAUAUGUCGUUAAUGCAGAUGUAGUUAAAUGAACGCCAGGCCCAUAUUUUCUUUCCAUGCAUGCCUUUGAUGACAGUACCUGUUACAGACGUGGGAAUGCUUGCGAAACAAGCUUACAUGCUUUACGGGAUUGUUGGGGGUGCCAAUAGAGUUUGGAUUAAACUUGUUCCACACGAACUUCACAAUUUCCUCCUAAAACGUGGGUUAUGAAUAAUGUGCAGGUCGAUAUACAAAGUGGACUACUCUGUUUGGCAUUCUUUGCUGCCUUAUUUGGAAGCAAAGGAACCAUACUAUUUUCAGAACUGAGUAUUUCAACAUAGAUUCUUUGGUUAUUAAAGGUAAUCUCUUUGGCUAAGGCUACGAAAAGGGUUUUAUUAGGAAAGGUAACCAGCUUAACACUCAACUGAAAUAGGAACUUCCACUCAAAAAAUGUUGUAAACUUAACAUGUAAAAUUUUUAGUUGAAUUAUGUGGAUCAGUUUAAAACUAUAUGAUCCAAUUUAAAGGGAUUAAGUAUUUUAAUUUAAUAGAAGUUAAAUCUUAUCUGCUUAUUCAGUUAUUUAAUGGAUGUAUUAGAUUAAAGGUUAAUUAUUAUAAAUUGAUUCUUCCGAUGCCUAUUAGGGUUACACAUAAAAUAUAGAAAAACUAAUAGUAAAAGCCUCCACCACUUAGGUAUUGCGUAACAUAAGGGAAAAAGUGAAGAGAGUGAAAUCAAUUUAUCAUGUAUUUUCUUUGUCAAAUCCAAUAACCAACUUCAAUUUUGCAUCAUGUACUUCUUUGUAACUGUGAAAAUCAUAUUCUUUUGAUUAUCCUAAGAUUAUUGUUUAUGAAAUAUUAAGGUUUUGAUUUGCAUAAUAUACUGGUCAUUAAAUUUUACAUGUAAUAUAAUAUAGCACGCUGUUUCCUCUGUUUGCUAAGAUAGCUCGCUUUUUUCUAGGGUUUUAUUUGUUUCGUUUUAUUAAAGAUCUGGAUUACUUGUUAGAGUGUUGUGACAAUGGAGGAGAAGUUAGCGAAUCUGAACAUCGUUGAUGAAAAAGAGGAUUAUAAGCUAUGUUUGGUGGGACGAGUACUAACGGAUAGUAUGGUACACUUCCUGUCAAUGAGGAAUACCUUGGUUGAUUUGUGGCACCCAUUGGAAGGGGUCUCUAUAACAGAUAUCGUGGAGAAAGGAAGUCUAUUUCGAUUCUACUAUGAGAUAGAUCUAAAGAGGGCAAUCGAUGGUAAGCCAUGAUCUUUUAACAAGCAUCUUAUUAUAUUUCAUCGAUUGGAAGCAGGAGAAGAUCCACUACAAGUCCCGUUGGUUUUCUCAGAGUUUUGGGUGCAAAUUCAUAAUCUUUUGACAAGGGUGACGUCGGAGGGUUUGGCGCGUCAGUUUGGAAAUUUUAUUGGAUAGUUCACUCAGUAUGAUACAACUUUGGUGACAAGGGGAAUAAGGAGAUAUAUGUGAAUUAGGGUAAAAUUGGAUGUUCGAGUGCCACUGAAACGAAAGAAGAAAUUAUUGUUAGACCAAAAUCAAGAGAGAUAUGCCUAUUUCCAAUAUGAAAGAUUAAUGUCAUUCUGCUUGCUCUGUGGGAAGUUAGGGCACAGUGUAACACCCUUUACCUGGUCCGAUCGCCGGACUCGAGUAAUAGGAUGCUACAAACAAAAAUCAAAUAAGUUACAUGUAAUUUGUUAACCAAAAUCUCAAUUAAUUAUCAUCAAAUCACAUACAAUCAAAUAUAAUAAUUUGUAAUUUGUAAGCUAUAUGGACCUAAUCGUGAAAUCCAGGCAUGAAAUUGGGUUGAAUUGUAAAAUUUCAACAUUUUAAAGUUGGUAUCAAUAUUUAAUUUCUUGGUAUUGAUACCAUUUUGAUACUUUAUUUGGUAUUGAUACCAAAUCAAGAUUCUAUUUAGUUACAAAAACAAGGCUAUCGAAAUUUUAUGAAAAAGUAUUGAUACUUGUAUAAGUAUCGAUACCAUUUUGGAUUCUAUUAGUUUUAAAAACUGUUCAUAUGGUCAAGUAUCAGUACCAAAUGCUAAAAUAUUGAUACUUGAGCUCAGAAAUGGUAAAAUCCUAUCUUUAAAAUGUUCAUUUCAUGCCAAAAUCACAUACUAAUCAAAAGUUAACUAUAUCAACCAAAGGUAUAUCUUAAUAUCACCUACACAAUCAACCUAAAUGUCUAACCAAUAUCCUUUCAAUGGCACAUCAAUAUCAAGCCAAAUAUUCAAGCAUUCAACAUUUGAUUUCAUAUAAGCUUUAUAACCUAAAUACUUGAACUACCAAAUCAUUUUCAAACAUAGCAUAGAUAUAAACAUGAACUUACCAAUUCAUUGAUAAGCUUGAACUAAGCAUGCAUCACUUAACCUGUACAAAACAUGAUAAAACAUUCAAAUUCACUUAUAAAACAUACACUAAAUAUUGCCAUCGAUUGCAAGACCAAACCAUGUACCAACCAUCAUUAUCACAACUAUGCAUUAACCAAAUACACACCUAGCAUAUUAACUUCUUAACUAUCAAACCAUUAUGCACAUAACCAAACUAUUUUAGCAAGAUAACAUCAAUUUGACCAUUUCCAUCAGCCACAUAUAUAAACACUUAUACACAUAACAUUUAAAUACCAUCAAGAUACAAAAUGAUCAUAUUAACCAAAAGACUUCCUAGGUACAUGCCAAGACAAAAAUUUGAAACAUCACCAACACUUGAGUUUGGGAUUGAUAAGCACAUCAUGCUUUCAAUAAAUGUUUCGGUACAAUGGCAUGUUUAAAAUGCAUGUCAAUGUUCGGUGUCAAUUUAUACUUUGCAUAUUUUUUAUUUAACAGUAACAAUGACAUGCUAUACAUGCAUUCCAUACACAAUUUCAUCACAGAUUAAGUAAUUAAAUAUAUGGCAUGUCAAUCAUACAAUCAACCAAGGCAUAACAUAGGUCAUACAUUACUUACAACUCAUACACAAUUCCAUCAGAUUAAAAAAGGGCCUUUAACAAUUGGGCUUUUUAAGUGUUUACGUACCUUGCUUGACACCUCACUUAAUUGCACUUAGGCCAUUUAUCCAAGCCAAAACUAGCAAGCAAAUUAACCAUUUAAAUAAAUAUUGUAUGAUUUCCAAACUAAUUAGACAUAGGGGACAGACCUGCACCUGUUAAACGUAAAUACGAAGCACUAACUUAAAUCCGCAGCUCCUAUAACUUUGAUUCGAUUAGAACUCAAUUAGAUAUGUACACAAUAGAGAUCAUUUAUAAAAAAUCAGCCCCCUAUUACCCAUAUAGGGUUCGGCCAAGGCAUUGGUAUUAACCAAAAUUUCAUAUUUGAAUUAGAAAGUUAACACUUACCCUAUCAUGCUUACAACGGAGUUGCAAAUAGUUCACCGAAGUUACUGCUGAUCCAAAUGGUUUGGAUCUAGACCUUGAAUCAAUUAAACACAAAAGUAAUGAAACAUGUGAGAUUCAACCAUUCCAUGAACCAUUUGGCCAUAAUAGAAUAUAAAAAGUAGAGAAAACUACUUAGAUCUGAAUGAACUAACCGAAAAAAUUAUGCACUUACACUACUUGCUCAGAUCUGACGAUAGAAAAACAACAAAAGGUAGGGGAAAAGGUUUAGAAGGAUGGCGGCAACAAGGACGAUGACUUGUUGGGAUAGAGACAAUGGAGGGAAAAAGGGCUGUAGAGGUGCAGCAAUGACAGUUAAAAAACAACAAGUUUCAGCUUUUAGGAAAAAGAAAAUGAUUAGAAAAAUAAAAUCUAAUGGGAGGAGAAGGUGAACAAUGGGUGGCACAAUGGUGAAUAGUGGUGAUGGUGACACAAUGUAGGAGGAGGAAAAAGAAGAAAGAAAAAAAAAUUGAGAGAAGAGAGGGAUAAGGAGGAGGGGAAGACAAAGGGAAAUUAAGAGAGAGAAAA